rnacentral:rRNA from 1 species
AGAGUUUGAUCCUGGCUCAGGAUGAACGCUGGCGGCGUGCUUAACACAUGCAAGUCGAACGAACCUUCGGGUUAGUGGCGGACGGGUGAGUAACGCGUGGGAAUCUGCCCUCAGGAGGGGGAUAACGGCCGGAAACGGCCGCUAAUACCCCAUAUGCCGAGAGGUGAAAUGAAUUUCGCCUGAGGAUGAGCCCGCGUCUGAUUAGCUAGUUGGUGAGGUAAGAGCUCACCAAGGCAUCGAUCAGUAGCUGGUCUGAGAGGAUGAUCAGCCACACUGGGACUGAGACACGGCCCAGACUCCUACGGGAGGCAGCAGUGGGGAAUUUUCCGCAAUGGGCGAAAGCCUGACGGAGCAACGCCGCGUGAGGGAUGAAGGCCUCUGGGCUGUAAACCUCUUUUAUCAAGGAAGAAGAUCUGACGGUACUUGAUGAAUAAGCCACGGCUAAUUCCGUGCCAGCAGCCGCGGUAAUACGGGAGUGGCAAGCGUUAUCCGGAAUUAUUGGGCGUAAAGCGUCCGCAGGCGGCCCUUCAAGUCUGCUGUUAAAAAGUGGAGCUUAACUCCAUCAUGGCAGUGGAAACUGAGGGGCUUGAGUGUGGUAGGGGCAGAGGGAAUUCCCGGUGUAGCGGUGAAAUGCGUAGAUAUCGGGAAGAACACCAGUGGCGAAGGCGCUCUGCUGGGCCAUCACUGACGCUCAUGGACGAAAGCCAGGGGAGCGAAAGGGAUUAGAUACCCCUGUAGUCCUGGCCGUAAACGAUGAACACUAGGUGUCGGGGGAAUCGACCCCCUCGGUGUCGUAGCCAACGCGUUAAGUGUUCCGCCUGGGGAGUACGCACGCAAGUGUGAAACUCAAAGGAAUUGACGGGGGCCCGCACAAGCGGUGGAGUAUGUGGUUUAAUUCGAUGCAACGCGAAGAACCUUACCAGGGUUUGACAUCCUGCGAAUCUCUUGGAAACGAGAGAGUGCCUUCGGGAGCGCAGUGACAGGUGGUGCAUGGCUGUCGUCAGCUCGUGUCGUGAGAUGUUGGGUUAAGUCCCGCAACGAGCGCAACCCACGUCUUUAGUUGCCAGCAUUUAGUUGGGCACUCUAGAGAGACCGCCGGUGAUAAACCGGAGGAAGGUGUGGAUGACGUCAAGUCAUCAUGCCCCUUACAUCCUGGGCUACACACGUACUACAAUGCUACGGACAAAGGGCAGCAAGUUCGCGAGGACAAGCAAAUCCCAUAAACCGUGGCUCAGUUCAGAUCGUAGGCUGCAACUCGCCUACGUGAAGGAGGAAUCGCUAGUAAUCGCAGGUCAGCAUACUGCGGUGAAUACGUUCCCGGGCCUUGUACACACCGCCCGUCACACCAUGGAAGUUGGCCACGCCCGAAGCCGUUACUCCAACCCUUGUGGAGGAGGACGUCGAAGGUGGGGCUGAUGACUGGGGUGAAGUCGUAACAAGGUAACC